CCAAUGAGUUCUGGAGUUGCAGUAGAGCCCGGGGAAUUGGCGCUGCCCAAUCGCAGACUCAAGCCCGACUCGCCGCGAUUUAUCAGGAAAUUGUUUAUUAUAUUGUGGGAGAGAGCUUUUUUUUUAUGUGCGCGCCCUCCGAUCGAAAACCACGCAUGGUUUAUGGCCGGGAACAUCGGCACAGCCCCUCUGAAUCACCACCACCUCCUUUCCGGGCGUGGGAAAGUCCUUGCCAUCGCAACUGCAACGGCCAGCGACGACUAUGAUUCUGAUUUAUGCCGCAGAUUGGCGCGAUAUAAACGUGCCAGCGACGGGACAAGAUGGAAAGUGGAGCCGGGUCAUGGAGUGACGAUGGGCCAGCAUCGAAAUGUCGGACAAUGAUAGACUGGGCAGCCAACUCUGCUUUCAAGAUCUGUAACUCGAUCCCCCGCCCCAGGUGCCAGCUAAUGUUUACCCAUCUUCCACACGGGCGGGACCAAAAUAGAGCAUCUUAACCCAUCCAUCUGGCGACUCCCACGCCCAAGCCCCCGGAUCCCAGGCUGCCGUGUGUGGGCCACCCAUGAACCCGCCAGUAUUUGUCAUAAAUGAUUUCCACGUCGCAACGGGAACACCGGACGGACUCGCAUGCGGAUCCCGUUUCCAGCUACAUCCUCGUACGAGUCGACGGAGUCUGCUCCAAUUAUACCCCGCUCGAAUAUCAAAUUAAGUGCCCAAUGCUAGGACAGUUUUAAUGUCUUUAGCACCAUAAAAGCCGUGCAGUCAUAAAAGAGGGGCAGAGCACACUGCAGAGCAGGAAAAAGUCCCAUAGAAGGGGAAAACACAGAUAUUUGUAUAGACAUAAUAAACGAAAUAAAAACCGAAA